GCCUUCGUGGUGUAGUGGUCUGCAUGCUCGACGCACAACCGAGAGGUCCGUGGUUCGAUUCCCGGCGAAGGCU
rfam:Stegodyphus mimosarum contig60499, whole genome shotgun sequence.